rnacentral:rRNA from 1 species
AUUGAACACUGGCGGCAUGCUUUACACAUGCAAGUCGAACGGUAACAGGCCGCAAGGUGCUGACGAGUGGCGAACGGGUGAGUAAUGCAUCGGAACGUGCCCAGUCGUGGGGGAUAACGCAGCGAAAGCUGCACUAAUACCGCAUACGAUCUAUGGAUGAAAGCGGGGGACCGUAAGGCCUCGCGCGAUUGGAGCGGCCGAUGUCAGAUUAGGUAGUUGGUGGGGUAAAGGCUCACCAAGCCAACGAUCUGUAGCUGGUCUGAGAGGACGACCAGCCACACUGGGACUGAGACACGGCCCAGACUCCUACGGGAGGCAGCAGUGGGGAAUUUUGGACAAUGGGCGCAAGCCUGAUCCAGCAAUGCCGCGUGCAGGAAGAAGGCCUUCGGGUUGUAAACUGCUUUUGUACGGAACGAAACGGCUCUGGUUAGUACCUGGGGCUAAUGACGGUACCGUAAGAAUAAGCACCGGCUAACUACGUGCCAGCCGCCGCAGUAAGAC